rnacentral:tRNA from 1 species
GCCUGGGUGGCUCAGUCGGUUGAGCGUCUGACUUCAGCUCAGGUCAUGAUCUAGCGGUCUGUGAGUUCGAGCACCACAUCAGGCA